rnacentral:rRNA from 1 species
GACGAACGCUGGCGGCGUGCCUAAUACAUGCAAGUUGAGCGCUGAAGGUUGGUCCUUGUACCAACUGGAUGAGCAGCGAACGGGUGAGUAACGCGUGGGGAAUCUGCCUUUGAGCGGGGGACAACAUUUGGAAACGAAUGCUAAUACCGCAUAAAAACUUUAAACACAAGUUUUAAGUUUGAAAGAUGCAAUUGCAUCACUCAAAGAUGAUCCCGCGUUGUAUUAGCUAGUUGGUGAGGUAAAGGCUCACCAAGGCGAUGAUACAUAGCCGACCUGAGAGGGUGAUCGGCCACAUUGGGACUGGGACACGGCCCAAACUCCUACGGGAGGCAGCAGUAGGGAAUCUUCGGCAAUGGACGAAAGUCUGACCGAGCAACGCCGCGGGAGUGAAGAAGGUUUUCGGAUCGUAAAACUCGGUUGGUAGAGAAGAACGUUGGUGAGAGUGGAAAGCUCAUCAAGUGACGGUAACUACCCAGAAAGGGACGGCUAACUACGUG